rnacentral:other from 1 species
AAGGUGCCCCGGGGUCUGGCCAUACUUAAUUGGAGCCGACAGUCAAAUAACCCAGGGAGCUGUCCCUGACAGUGGUGUGCAUGCCUAGCUCGACUAGGAAGCCUAAAGCUGUUAAACGGCGCCCACUUAUCUUAUCUGGGUUCCAUUUGGCAGCCAGCUCCGGGGUGCUCUU